rnacentral:misc_RNA from 1 species
UCCGGUUUGUCACCGGCGGUCCCCUUAGAGUUCCCAACUUAAUGCUGGCAACACGCCACGGGGGUUGCGCUCGUUGCGGGACUUAACCCAACAUCUCACGACACGAGCUGACGACAGCCAUGCAGCACCUGUGCAAGCUCCCCUUGCGGGGUCGUCCCACUUUCAUGGUUCUACCACUUGCAUGUCAAGGCUAGGUAAGGUUCUUCGCGUUGCAUCGAAUUAAAGAACAUGCUCCGCUGCUUGUGCGGGCCCCCGUCAAUUCUUUUGAGUUUUAGCCUUGCGGCCGUACUCCCCAGGCGGAACACUUAACGCGUUGGCUGCGGCACAGAGGGACUCGACUCCCCCCACACCUAGUGUUCAUCGUUUACGGCUAGGACUAC